UACGUAGGUGACAAGCGUUGUCCGGAUUUACUGGGCGUAAAGAGCGCGCAGGCGGUCGAUCAAGUCGAGUGUGAAAGCCCCCGGCUCAACUGGGGAGGGUCAUUCGAUACUGAUCGACUCGAAGGCAGGAGAGGGUAGUGGAAUUCCCGGUGUAGUGGUGAAAUGCGUAGAUAUCAACUGGAAUGCCGAUGGGGAAGCCGUCCAGCUGGGCCUGUCUUGACGCUGAGGCACGAAAGCGUGGGGAGCAAACAGG
rnacentral:rRNA from 1 species